CUUUGAUUCUUUGCGUAAAGGAACAAUACGGUCCUUACUAGUCAAAUCAUUGUUAAAUAGUGUGAUGAAGAAGAUUACUUCAUCUGGACUUCGACAAGGAAAAGCUCCUGUUUGGUAUUUAGUCGAGUGUCCGGUACAAGAAGGUGGACUUGCGUGUGGGUAUUACGUCAUGAGGUUCAUGCUCGAUAUCGUCAACUAUUGCAAAGAUGUUGUUGAUCUUCGAA